CAUAUGAACCAAUAACACCUAGAGAGAAAUCAGCUCCGACUUCUCGAAGGGAAGUAUGAGUGUAGAGAUAGGCAAUUUAGUGCGAAGGAACUGCCGUGGUGCGUGGAAGUAGGGCGCAUGCAUGCAUGCAUGUGCCGGACCACAGUACGGCAGUGGACGCCAAGCUUCUACUUGGGUCGUGCGGGCGGAUUGGUUCUCUAACUGCAGUUGUUUUGACUGCUACCAAGAGAUGUAUCCCGAUGCUGGGACAGUGUCCUCAAUUU
rnacentral:lncRNA from 1 species